UGCCAGCCGCCGCGGUAAUACGGAGGGUGCAAGCGUUGUUCGGAAUUAUUGGGCGUAAAGCGCGUGUAGGCGGUUCGUUAAGUCUGAUGUGAAAGCCCGGGGCUCAACCCCGGAAGUGCAUUGGAAACUGGCGAACUUGAGUACGGGAGAGGAAAGUGGAAUUCCGAGUGUAGGGGUGAAAUCCGUAGAUAUUCGGAGGAACACCAGUGGCGAAGGCGACUUCUUGGUCCAAUACUGACGCUCAGGUGCGAAAGCGUGGGGAACAAACAGGAUUAGAUA
rnacentral:rRNA from 1 species